GCUGAUAGUGAUUGGUGUGCGUGCUGAUGGUGGUUGGGGUGUGCGCUGAUGGUGGUUGGGGUGUGCGCUGAUAGUGAAUGGUGUGCACUGAUGGUG
rnacentral:lncRNA from 1 species